rnacentral:rRNA from 1 species
AUUGAACGCUGGCGGCAGGCCUAACACAUGCAAGUCGAGCGGAUGAAGGGAGCUUGCUCCUGGAUUCAGCGGCGGACGGGUGAGUAAUGCCUAGGAAUCUGCCUGGUAGUGGGGGAUAACGUCCGGAAACGGGCGCUAAUUCCGCAUACGUCCUGAGGGAGAAAGUGGGGGAUCUUCGGACCUCACGCUAUCAGAUGAGCCUAGGUCGGAUUAGCUAAUUGGUGGGGUAAAGGCCUACCAAGGCGACGAUCCGUAACUGGUCUGAGAGGAUGAUCAGUCACACUGGAACUGAGACACGGUCCAGACUCCUACGGGAGGCAGCAGUGGGGAAUAUUGGACAAUGGGCGAAAGCCUGGUCCAGCCAUGCCGCGUGUGUGAAGAAGGUCUUCGGAUUGUAAAGCACUUUAAGUUGGGAGGAAGGGCAGUAAGUUAAUACCUUGCUGUUUUGACGUUACCAACAGAAUAAGCACCGGCUAACUUCGUG